rnacentral:rRNA from 1 species
UACGUAGGGUGCGAGCGUUAAUCGGAAUUACUGGGCGUAAAGCGUGCGCAGGCGGUUUGCUAAGACCGAUGUGAAAUCCCCGGGCUUAACCUGGGAACUGCAUUGGUGACUGGCAGGCUAGAGUAUGGCAGAGGGGGGUAGAAUUCCACGUGUAGCAGUGAAAUGCGUAGAGAUGCGGAGGAACACCGAUGGCGAAGGCAGCCCCCUGGGCUGACACUGACGCUCAGGCACGAAAGCGUGGGGAGCAAACAGG